rnacentral:lncRNA from 1 species
CAUACAUUGUGGAAAGUAUUGGAGGUGAGGAUGGAGAACAGAGACAAGAAGGGAUAAGUCAGCUUUCAGGAGCUUGCUCCAGCCAUCCCUUCAGAGACAACCACCCUCACAGGAUGGCAGCGAUGUCUGAAGUGUUCCCAUGCAAAGUACACAAACUCCCGGUGCUGGUGUCGGCAACGCAUGGCAAACAGGAAGUAGUCCAGGACACUCUGACACACGCUGGGCAGUUGGUGCUGUACCAGUGUCUCCUCCAGGAAGAAGCAGACCAGUGGUGCCUGAUAGUGCUCUAAGACCAGCUCUCCUAGCGACUUGAGGAUGCGUGUAAUAUUCAGGUUGUUGUGGCUGUGACUGUUCAGGUUGUGGAAGCAUGGCUGGAAGUUCUGUGCACCGCAGACCGCACUGGUGUCCUGGUCCUCAAGUUGGACCCAUAAAAGCCCAGCAUGAGUUCAUAGGUCCGGACAAGACGCUCUUUGACCUCCUCGAAGCUUUUAAAUUCCUCAACCUCCUUGAGUGUGAGGGGCUUGGCAUGCCGGUUCACUCCUGGUUCCCUCAGAGGAAACAGCCACUAAAUAUAGGAGUGAUUCUCUUCAAGGAGGUCAUAGUUGCCUUUCUAGUUGUGAAGAAUUUCCUCAAUGAAAAGACCAUUUAGGCUGGCAUGCUGGCUCAGAGGUUAAGAGCACUGACUGCUAUUCCAGAGGUCCUGAGUUCAAUUCCCAGCAACCACAUGGUGGCUCACAACCAUCCAUUAUGAGAUCUGGUGCCCUCUUCUGAUGUGCAGAUAUACAUGGAAGCAGAAUGUUGUAUGCAUAAUAAAUAAAAUCUUUAAAAAAAAAGACCAUUUGGCUGGAAGCAGAUCUCAUUUUUGUAGAAGCUCAGGUUAGACCUGUCGCCAUUGUGGUCUUGAUCUGCCACAUCUGGGUAGUGGUGCCAAUAACUUCACAUGUCCUGCAUGACUCACCAGUUUUGGCACCCUGUCAUCCUGGACUGGAACACGCCUGGCCCUAACUCCUCCAAGUAGCAGUGGAUAUGGGGAGAC